GCUUGGAAGCAGCCAUUCAUUUAAAGAGUGCGUAACAGCUCACUAGUCGAGGAGUCGGGCGUGGAUAAUAAUCGGGUAUGAAGUUGUCUACCGAAGCAGUGGGAUCAUUUAUAUGAUCGGUAGGGGAGCAUUCCAGUCAGCGUCGAAGGCGUACCGUGAGGUAUUCUGGAGCGUCUGGAAAAGCAAAUGUAGGUAUAAGUAACGAUAAAGGGGGCGGGAAACCCCCUCGCCGAAAGACUAAGGUUUCCUGAUCAACGCUAAUCGGAUCAGGGUCAGUCGGGUCCUAAGGCUCAGCCGAACGGCGAUGCCGAUGGCAGAAACGGUUAAUAUUCCGUUACUACCUUCAGGAGUGACGUGGAGACGCAGUAGUGACAGUGCCGCCAUCUGACGGAAUAGAUGGUUGAAGGGUGUAGGAGUCGAUCAUGGCAGGCAAAUCCACCAUGAGAUCCGAACCUGAUAGUAUGCCGCGUCCUUCGGGACAAGGCAAUAGUGCGCGUAAGCAUGCUGCCGAGAAAAUCCGCUAAACUUAAUCCUGCAGGUACCCGUACCGCAAACGGACACACGUAGUCGGGAUGAAUAUUCUAAGGCGCUUGAGUGAUUCACGGUUAAGGAACUAGGCAAACUGACCCUGUAACUUCGGGAUAAAGGGUCCCUACCCUUUUAUGGGAGGGCGCAGAGAAUCGGUCCAGGCAACUGUUUAACAAAAACACAGGGCUGUGCCAAAUCGAAAGAUCCAGUAUACAGCCUGACACCUGCCCGGUGCUGGAAGGUUAAGAGGAGAUGUCAUCGAUAAGAGAAGCGUUGAAUUGAAGCCCCAGUAAACGGCGGCCGUAACUAUAACGGUCCUAAGGUAGCGAAAUUCCUUGUCGGGUAAGUUCCGACCUGCACGAAUGGUGUAAUGAUCUGGACGCUGUCUCAACCGUGAGCUCAGUGAAAUUGUAGUAUCGGUGAAGAUGCCGAUUACCCGCGAUGGGACGAAAAGACCCCGUGAACCUUUACUAUAGCUUAUCAUUGAAUCUGGGCACGUGAUGUGUAGGAUAGGUCGGAGGCUUUGAAGCAGGUACGCCAGUAUUUGUGGAGCCGCUGUUGAAAUACGACCCUUUAUUUGUUUGGAUUCUAACCCGUGGAUACGGGGACAUUGAUUGGUGGGUAGUUUGACUGGGGUGGUCGCCUCCAAAAGCGUAACGGAGGCUUCUAAAGGUGCCCUCCGGCCGAUUGGUAACCGGCCUUAGAGUGUAAUGGCAUAAGGGCGCUUGACUGGGAGACUGACAAGUCGAUCAGGUAGGAAACUAGAGCAUAGUGAUCCGGUGUUUCCGUAUGGA
rnacentral:rRNA from 1 species